CACACUCACACACUCACACAUUUACACACACACACUCACACACACUCACACACGCACUCACAGACGAGAUCCGAGUUCCCCACUGCUGUGCAGAGCGAUCUGUGCAGCAGCGUGUGACAGAUUGUGUGCAACAGCGGUGGGCGUAGUGGAGACAUCGCUCCCGACAGCCCUCAGCCUUAGCAACCUCCCGUGCCUGCGCCUGGUCCACCAGGAGAGAUCGGGGAGAAAGGGGACAGGGGCCCCCCAGGAAUCCAGGGCGUUGUGGGACCGGAGGGCGAGAAGGGGGUCCGGGGACUCAGGGGACCUCACGCGGCCCGGGGGUCAAAGGGCGACCGAGGGGCGAUGGGGGAGCUGGGCGCCGAGGGAGCUGGGGGGCCCAAGGGGUCGACGGGGCCACGGGGCCCCCCAGGAUCCCCGGUAAAGUCACUUACAUGGAACACAAUUCACCA